rnacentral:rRNA from 1 species
CCUACGGGAGGCAGCAGUAAGGAAUAUUGGUCAAUGGGCGCAAGCCUGAACCAGCCAUGCCGCGUGCAGGAAGACGGCCCUACGGGUUGUAAACUGCUUUUGUACCGGAAUAAACCUUUUCACGUGUGAGAAGCUGAAUGUACGGUAAGAAUAAGGAUCGGCUAACUCCGUGCCAGCAGCCGCGGUAAUACGGAGGAUCCAAGCGUUAUCCGGAUUUAUUGGGUUUAAAGGGUGCGUAGGCGGUUCUUUAAGUCAGGGGUGAAAGACGGUAGCUUAACUAUCGCAGUGCCUUUGAUACUGAAGAACUUGAAUACACUUGAGGUAGGCGGAAUGUGACAAGUAGCGGUGAAAUGCAUAGAUAUGUCACAGAACACCAAUUGCGAAGGCAGCUUACUAAAGUGUCAUUGACGCUGAGGCACGAAAGCGUGGGGAUCAAACAGGAUUAGAUACCCUGGUAGUCCACGCCCUAAACGAUGAAUACUCGAUGUUGGCGAUAUACGGUCAGCGUCUAAGCGAAAGCGUUAAGUAUUCCACCUGGGGAGUAGCCCGCAAGGGUGAAACUUAAAGGAAUUGACGGCGUGAGACGNGCGACGACGACGACGAGGGAGAGG